AAGCAAGCUUAACUGCGAGACAGACAAGUCGAGCAGGUGCGAAAGCAGGUCAUAGUGAUCCGGUGGUUCUGAAUGGAAGGGCCAUCGCUCAACGGAUAAAAGGUACUCCGGGGAUAACAGGCUGAUACCGCCCAAGAGUUCAUAUCGACGGCGGUGUUUGGCACCUCGAUGUCGGCUCAUCACAUCCUGGGGCUGAAGUAGGUCCCAAGGGUAUGGCUGUUCGCCAUUUAAAGUGGUACGCGAGCUGGGUUUAGAACGUCGUGAGACAGUUCGGUCCCUAUCUGCCGUGGGCGUUGGAGAAUUGGUUGGGGCUGCUCCUAGUACGAGAGGACCGGAGUGGACGCACCACUGGUGUUCCGGUUGUGUCGCCAGACGCAUUGCCGGGUAGCUAAGUGCGGAAGAGAUAAGUGCUGAAAGCAUCUAAGCACGAAACUUGCCAAGAGAUGAGUUCUCCCA
rnacentral:rRNA from 1 species